rnacentral:misc_RNA from 1 species
UGGGUUUGACAUAUACCGGAAAGCCGUAGAGAUACGGCCCCCCUUGUGGUCGGUAUACAGGUGGUGCAUGGCUGUCGUCAGCUCGUGUCGUGAGAUGUUGGGUUAAGUCCCGCAACGAGCGCAACCCUUGUCCUGUGUUGCCAGCGCGUAAUGGCGGGGACUCGCAGGAGACUGCCGGGGUCAACUCGGAGGAAGGUGGGGAUGACGUGUCGUUACCUUA